CGAUACAAACACACACAAAUAUUUAAGACACAAAAAUUAGGAGUUCCUGUCAUGGCUCAGAGGUUAACGAACCCGACUAGGAACCAUGAGGUUUCGGAUUCAAUCCCUGCCCUUGUUCAGUGGGUUAAGGAUCCGGCCUUGCCCUGAGCUGUGGGGUAGGUCGCAGACGUGGCUCGGAUCCCACGUUGCUGUCGCUCUGGUGUAGGCUGGCAGCUACAGCUCUGAUUCGACCCCUAGCCUGGGAACCUCCAUAUGCCGCAAAUGCAGCCCUAAAAAGAUAAAAGACAAAAAAAAAAAAAAAAAAAGAGAGACACAGAAAUUAGAGCAAAACCAUAUCAUAAUAGGAACACUUCUACCUCUGUCAGAGAAAGUUGAAUAAGGCUUUGAGACAGAGGUAACAUCAGAGAUGUGUACUGAUAUAAAAUAAUAAAUUUCUUUUGAGUACAAUGUAAGGUUCUAUUCAACACUCAGUCCAGUGCUAGGAAGGUGCUUGUUGCUGGAUGAAGAAAGAAUGGUAAGGAAUGUUGUAGGCUGACAGGCAAAAUCACACAAGAACAUUGAUUAUUUAGGGUGCUGAGAGACACCAGGUAUUACUGAUAAAUAGAUGCAUGAGACUUGGUGAGGAAAUGGGCAGAAAUGAACACAAAGAAGUAUUUGGGAAGUCCAUUUGUGGUGCAGCUGGUUAAGGAUCUGGCAUUGCAGUAGCUGUGGCUCAGUUAUGUUCUAGCCCUGGCCCUGGCCGGGGAACUUUGACAUGCCCUGGGUGCAGCCAGAAAAAAAUUAAAAAAGAACUAGCUUGGAGACUGAUCACAAAGGCAUUGUAUUUUUUUCAAUGAGAUGGUUAGAUUGUAUCCUACACGUACACCAACCAGAGCCAGUAGAAAUUUGGCAGUGGGAGAGUGAUAGCUCUGACUUUUGAAUUAAAAAGUUACCUGCAAUGAUGCCUUCAAGAGGUGAAAUCAUUGGAGAGAUUGUUAGAAGAAUGUAAGAGAGAAUAAAGCUCUAGCAGAAUUUUGGAGGGGCUUUAAAGAGAAGUAGUAAAUUCCAGAGACAUAUCUAGAGUGAAACUGACUAACUGGCUUUAGAAAGUGAUGGAGAAAUAGGAAAAGAUUAUUCACUCCAUGCACACACUCAACCUUUUAUCUACACUCUUAUUAAAACCAUGUGGUUAAACAUUGGUUUAGGCAGGGGGAACAGAGACAAAUUGAACACAGUUUUUCCUUGAUAAAACUCAUUGUUUGGUGUUUCUCCCAGUGAGAUUUUAUUUUUGAUGAUCAUGAUAGUAAUUGAUGCAUACUUUCUGAUAUAUAGGAUAAGACUAAGCUGUCUCAAAAUAUAGAAAUUAACCAGUGGCUUAAGUAUGAUUGCUUUCUUGAAAUCCACAGUCUUUUGUCUUUAAUAUUUGAUGUCACCCGGCUGCUAUGCUACUCUCUUCUUCCUAAAUGACUUAGAGAAUGAAAAUAUAUGUGCAGGGCUUUUCAAGAAUAAUUUAUUUCUGCAUUAGAGAGCAAUAGAAAUGCGUUGCUUCAACCCUGCCCGCCUCCGAUUUUUAUUGCAGUUUGCUUUAAAAUAUUUGUAGAUUCAAACUGAGUAGAGAGGAUGGUAAUUAGUGUGCAGAUUUUUUAAUUGUCUAUGAUAGGAAGCUAAUUGGUGUUUUCCUUAAAGAAUGAAUUUAAGGAAAUGUGAUUUGAAAAGUGUAGUGUUGUGAAUCAGACUGAUCCAAGUAGUAGAAGCUAUUGAUUGGAUAUAAUAAGCAGUUUUGAUUGUUUAACUGCAGGCGUCAUUCUGGGAAACCAGAAUUAAAUGGUGGUAAUAACUACACUACUUAUUUCACAAAAACUCUGACCUAACUCUGGAUGCACUUUUAUAAGAUUAAUUGGUCAAUUUAUAUGACCUGAAUUCAACAUUCUGCCCUCUGUCAUCCGCCCACCACACAUCUUUCAUUUUCCCACCUCCCCUGCUCCCAGUACUAUUUAUCUAACCCUCAGCUUCUUACUGUUAGGAUCUCUUUGCCCUGCAAGUGGAUCUCAUAUUGAAUGAAACAAAUAGCUACAUACUAGCUUCCUUCUAUGGCAUUCGCCUGGUCCACCAGAAACUCAGAUAUCCUUGCAAUGCCAAAUGGUGGAUUAUAGGCUGACCCACUGGUAUGUCCUAUCUUAGCUGUGCUAUCUCUCUUCAGUACUCUUUUCCUAUUACUUGGACAGACUCUGAGAUAGAUAUGCUAGUUAGCUGCCAAACAGACAUCUAACCAGGGAAUGAAAUGCCUGAAUCCCUUUCUCUCAGGUAGCUCAUAUAGUCUCUCAGUAAUACCGCCACAUCCUACUCUUGGCUUUAAGGAAAGACAAUAGCUUCUCAUCAUGAACAUUGAUACCUCAAUGGCAGAGGAUUUGAUGAUAACUUUGUCCCUUUGCAGAUUCUACAGAGGAGAUAAACUGAUGGCUAGUGGUAGCAGGGCCAGUUUUGUCUCCUUCUAGUAAAUUCAUGUCUCAUCCUCACAGACCACUCAUUUUCUUCUAAACAUGGAAUACUUAACACCUUCAACAAUUCUGCACCAAAAAAGAAAGUCUCACAUAAGAUCCUGCUGCAGAUAUAUCCUUAUAUAUACACACAUCUACAUACAAAAUGAAUUCUGGACACUGUUAUUCUAAUCACAACAGUAACAGAAAAGGAGGCUUCUAAACAAUGAGAGAACACUCAGAGAGCCUUGGCUUUCCCUUCAUCCAAAAGCAAGAGAUUAGAGUCGUAGAAUUGUAUACAAAUUUAGUUUAAUAAUUUUACAAAUUUUGUAGUUUGAUUUUCACUUCAGAUCUUCCAAAUAGAAGAGCUAGGCUGCUCUAUACUCAUGCACUGGGAAGUGACAACAGUCAAAAAGAAUGCCCACAGGUCCUCCUAUAGCCUCCUAGUGUCACUGUUAUGAGUAUGGUAUGUUUCAGAAAAUAGGAAAGUCUAUUAAAAUAAAUUAUUUAAUGGCUUUAUUGAGAUAUUUCAUAGGCCCUAACAUUACCUAUUUAGAGUGUAUAGUUCAGUAGCUUUUAUGAUAUUCAGAGUUGUGCAACCACUACCGCAGUCAAUUUUACAAUACUUUUCUCACUCCUCCCCAAAAUAAUCGCAUGCCCCUUAGCAGUCAGUUCCCAUCUCCUCAUCUUCCCAGGCUCUGGCAACAACUAAGCUGCUUUCUGCCUCUACAAAUUUGCUUAUUCUGGACAUUUCAAUAAAAAUCGAAUCAUAUAAUGCAGUCUUUUGUGAUGCUUGUUUCACUUAGCCUAAUAUUUUCAAGGUUCAGGCAAGUUGUAGCAUGUAUCAGUAUCUCAUUCAUUUUUUAAUUACAGAAAAUAAUUAUAAAUACAUUGAAAAGACUCUCUGUUGCAAGUAAGUUGGGUUCUCCACAAAGAAUCUUAGAUGUGGAAUUAGGCAUGUAAAACAUUUAAUGGUGAAUAAUGUCUGUGAAAGAAAAAGAGCAGAAGUAGGAUUGUAUAAGGAAGCUGUCAUAUCAUGGUGCACCUCUGCCAUCAGGGUUUCCACCCCCAGAGCAAAGAUGCCCUUUGCUGAGAGGACAUGCUUGGCUCUGAUGCACUGGCUUGCUUAAUGAUUGGCCAGGAGCUGUCCUGAGAAUAAACUGGAAGGCUGAGGCAAAUCAUACUCCUUUCCUGUAGGCAGCAAAUCUUUUCGUAAAGAGCAAUCUGGUGUCACAUCUCUGCAACUAACAUGGCUAAAAUGAGCAUCUGUUUAAAAAAAAAUUAAAUUAAAAAAGAGCUUCUGUUUUCUGAAUGUGAUUUCUGAGAAUGCUGGGUUAAAAAUAAGCCUCCACUGCAUAUUCAUUUAUUGUUUUUCCUUCCUCAGCAGUUGGAAGGCAGAGGCACUUACCUUCUUCCUUUCUGGAUCAACUUUCUUCAAGUAAGAAUCUUUACACACGGUGGGAGCUCAAUAAAUGCUGUUGAUGGAUACACCUAGACAAGUAAAACAAAUAUGUCUUACUUGAGCCUGAAAUCUUUUUUUGGCACACAGUAAAAGAGCCAUGCAACUCUUAUAACUUUACAUAGAGAUAUUCUACAGGUUUACAAAGUAUGUAUGAAAAUUGGCCUGAGGAUGUUGGGUGUCCUCCUAAAGGGUGUGUAAGUGGGGUAAUGAUACUGGAAAUAGAAACUGAGAUUCUAUGUAAUGCUUACUACUCCCAGCAUGCUGACAGACCUCAUAAGAAUGCCCAUGCCUAGGUAGUAGGCUUUAAAGACUCACACCUUUGUUAACACUGCAGCUCCAUAGCAUAGUUUCUUAUUGAAACCUUAAGAAUAACAUUGAGCCAUAUGCUCCAUCCACUCCCCAGGUGACUGAAACCUUCCCAAAUUCCACUUACCUCAUUGUGAACUGGCAAACUAAUUUGUACUCCCUCAGCCAUGAAAUUUGCUACUCAGAAAACUACAUAUUCAUAAUUUGAGAAACUGGAAUGAUGUGUUGUAACUGACAGAUGAUCUAGUCUCUAGGCACUUAUUGCUUUUGGUUUUACUUAUUGAAGGUGGAAGAGAUUUCUCUCAUUUCAAUGACGGAUUUUUAUAUACUUUUUAUAAUUCUGGUGGCAGUGUGAUAAAAUUAAAAAAUUAUUGAUUCAGUUGCAAAGGACUUCAUUGAUCACCAUGCAUGAUAAACCUGCAUUGUUGUUUACACAUAAUAUACAUAUUUAAAGGCACAAUUCAUUUCAGAGUACACAGCACAAUGUGCGAUCAAAGUACAACCUUUUUUUAAAAAUUUCCCCUUAAAUUACUUUAGGUCAAAAGAAAUGAAAAUAGGUUUGGAAAGUAGUGGUAAGCCAUAUGUUAUCAGAAAUUAAGUAAUUAAAGUUUAUUGCUUUAUAUACUUUAAUGUCAAUUACAAUAAUAAUAAAUAAAGUGAUUAUGUAAUUUUUCAAUUAUUAUAAUCUUUUCAAGGGUCACAAUGCUGCAGUUUCCUCUUUGAUAACUUGGGCAUGAGCUUAGAAACCAUUGUCCUACCUCCUUGUAAGGACCCUCUUUCUAUGAAAAAUAGAUGAGUAGAAUAUUUUGACCAAAACAUAUGUAUUUUAUAGUUUAUCUUUGUAGCACAUAAAAAAUUAUGACAACCUUUUCCCACCAAGUGUUCUCCUUUCUCUGUUCUAACACAAGUAUGUGGUUGAAACUAAUAAAUAAAACUGGAACUCUAGCCCCUGAAAUGAUUAGAGUUUGAAAAUAUUGAAAAAAUAUAUUUAUACUUAAAAGAUUGUUAACUAUUUGACAUAGAAAAGCAGCAGCACACUUUCUGAAGAUUACAGAAGUCAAAUGCACCUAAUAAUAUUGAAUGUAGGCCUGUGAAAACUAGGUCUACUGUGAGAAAACAAUAAAGUGGCUGUUAAAUUGUACUAUUUUGUGUUGAUUAGAGAUUCGAUUUCCUGAAGGAUUGAAAGUUAAAGGAAUAAAAAAAAAA
ensembl:lncRNA